GGCGGCGCGCGUGGGGGGGAGGCCACGCGCCCCGUCCCCCUCAGCUCCGCGUGCUGGUUGCUCGGCCGUUAGUGCCCGGGGCGGGGACGUGGGGUGCGCUGCCGCGCAGUUCUGCCCUCGGCCACAGCGCGUCCGCUCCUUGCGCCUGUGCGCUGCGUAGCUGUGCUCGUCCUAGGGUGACUGCAAGGAAGGUCACGCUAGGGAGGGAUUGUCCGAGUAACAGGUGGCUGCCCGUGAGUGGUGCGGGGCUGCGUGGAAGGUGCUUACCCCAGCUGCGGAAACCGCCAGUGGAGCAACAGUCACCAAAAUUCUCAAAAACUGUGAGUAGAUUGUUGAUGACAUUGUGCUGGAAGCUUCAGGAGACCAUGAAAGAGGCUACAGGAGGCUGACUGUUCACAUCAGUGUCUGAGGUCUCCAAGAAACAAAUCUGAAAACCUGUUCCAUGUUCUGCUGCCAUCUGGAUUGCUAAAGUCUCAAACUCAAGAUGGAAGCUUGGCGCAGUCUUUAAGGCGAUGACAUGCAUUAAUAGCUAGUAUUGUCCAGUCUCGUGUUUCAUGAAAAACCCUUUCCAGUAGUCACAUGUCUCUCUGUACCGGAGAGCCCAGAACUGGACACAGUACUCGAGAUGUGGCCUCACCAGGGAUGAGUAGAAUGGCAGGAUCACCUCUCUCGACCUGCUGGCAACACUCUUCCUAAUGCACCCCAGGUUACCACUAGCCUUCUUGGCUGAAAGGGUACCCCAAGUCUGUCAGCCUCUCCUUGCACGUCAUGUACUCCAGCCCCCUGACCUUCCAGGGGCCUUCAGAACUCAAUCCAAUAUGUCAGUGUGAGUCUUGUAUUGGCCUACCCAACACUGGACACAUAUGUUUUCUCACAAACAGUGAAAAGAGAAGAAGAAUCACUUUCCUGGUCCUACUGAGGAACCAUAGUUACUGCACUUACUGAUUCUCUAUACAAUUCUCUCCAUGUCACUUGUUAUCUCUUUUUUGAGGCUGAAGAGUCCCAUCUUAGUCACUCAUCCUGUGGUAGCAAUUCUGUGACUUUGAUCAUUCUUACUGCCCUUCUCUGAACCUUUUUUAAAUUCUAAGAUAUCCUCAUGCUUUUCUGGUCGCAUCAUCACUGCAUUCAAAGUGGGAGCAGAUCAUGGAUUUAGUUUCAUAACAGUCUUCUGUGGUUUGUUCUCUGUGCCUUUUGCAAUCAUUUUUAACAUCCAAUUUCUCUUUUUUACUGGUGCUGAACAUUUAGUUGAUCUUUUUCUGGAACUAUUAAAACCUAGAUUUUGCCCUGUAGAGGUAAUAGUCAGUUCAGAACUUGUACUGCUGAAGCUGGGAUUGAGAGUCCAUCCUUCCCUCCGCACCCCACCCCCUUGCAUCUCUUCAUCUGCUUUGAGUUUGUUCUAUGGUUUGUUCUAACCGUUUUAUUGGUUAGUUACUUAGUUUCCUUCUCAUGUGACUGCAUAGCUUCCUUAAAAGUCUUAAAUGAUGAAUUUUUGUCAAAAGCCUUUUGGAAAUCCAGGUGGACCAGGUUGCCUUUAUUCACAGUCCACUGAGCUCUUCAGAGAACUCCAAAGCGUUUGCCAAUCAGUCACCUUUCAUAAACACUUUAUUUUAGAGACUACCCCCUGCUAUUUUGCUUAGCCAUUAGCUUUACUUCCUGUUUUGGGGGUUAUUUUCCCUCAAAGUAAAUACAGGAUAGCAAAAUGAACAUAUUUUUAAGUUUUCUGUGUCAAAUGCAGCAAAAUGCAUCAGCAAAGUGUAUCUUGUCUCAAAUAUUUUACAAAAAGAACUUGAGUCACUAAGACUUUGCUUGGUACUAUAUGAGUGUUGUGUGUUGUUUUCUCAUGUUUUCAUAAAUACAUGUUCAAUUUUCUCUUUCUCUGAAAAGGAAGGGCAGUUUAUGGGAGAAAGUCAUUUUAAAAAUAACUAACACGCUGUCGUCAGCAAGAUUAUGCUGUUUGAAAUGCUUGCAGUGCCUAUGCUGGUUUUUAAGAUUGUACUAAUUUGGAAGACAGUACUGGCUGAGAGUGACGAGACCUGCAUUCUGCUUCAGUACUCCCAUUGUCCUGCUGUGCAAGAUGGGGAAGAUUGUUUCACCUCUUCUUGACCUGCUCUUUGUCUUCUCUAUUUGAUUGCAGUCAUUACAGACUGGAUUGACCUCAUAAAGUGUUUUUGUACAGUGCCAAGCAUAAGCAAGGUGCAAUCUCAAACAGAUUUCCCAGGUACUUUCCCAACAGAAAUAACAAAAAACAUGAAAACUUGUAAUUUAGGAAUCAAAGCUGUGGUUGAUACAUAAAUCUAAAAAAGGCCAGUGCUUGUAAAGGCUUGCAAGUGACCUUAAAAUUAAAUAUUUAGUUGCCUCAGCUAAUGUUACUGCUUAGCAUAUACGUAAUUGUGCUGGAUUGUGGUAGACUAUUAGUUGAUCAAAAAAAAAGAGUACAAGAUUAAAACUUGGUGCUUUCAACAGCAUGACUGCAAAGACAUAUAUUUAGGGAAAACUACAUGAAUUUGCAUAGCAUAGAAAGCAAAGUUUGAAGUUUCCAAUUCUGACAUUUCAAAAUGUUCUUGUGUUACACCAAAACAUUGUCUGUUGGGCAUCUAGAAUCCAUGUGGCCUACUGGACAUGUAAACUAAAGCUCCCGGGUGAUAUAAAUCGAAAAAAUAUUAAAAAGUGGAUUUCCCUGAGGGGAAAAACACCUUUUAUGGUAGGAUGGGAGGAGAUGAGUUCAUUCUACUUGGAAAUUUCUCUAUCUAAAGAAAAUUUCUGAUCAAUGUUUCAAGGAAGCACUGUCUCUUUUUGCCACCAUAGUUGUAUUAAAAAAAAGACUUGAAAUCGAUGGAUUUAGGAUUCCGUUGUCUGAGACUAAAUCCUUUAGGGCGUUAUGUUGCACUUGUUUGGGUAGUUUCCAGAUCUGCAGUGAGAUGUUCGUGAUUUUUAAUUGUUCCUUCAAAAUUUCUGCUAGUCUGAGAGAUCUAAAAGGAGCUGCAGAUGUGCAGAUCUUCAAGUAUCUUUAUUUCAAGGUAACUGAGCAGAAAUACAAAUAAUGAUUGUAUUAAGAGCUUUUUCUUUUCUUUUUUUCUUUCUUUUUUUUUUCUUUUUUUUUUUUUAAAGGCUGUUGGAUAAAGCCUAAGAGCUCUGAGAGCCUGGAAAUGAGAGAGAGAGUCUGGAGAAAGGAAGGAUUUCUCUUAGUCAAGGAUAGGAUUAGAGAUCUUUUAGGCAAACGACAUCCACAGAUCCAUGGGCCCUGAUGGAAUGCAUCCACAGGUACUGAGGGAGCUGGCGGAUGUUGUUGCCAGGCUGCUCUUCAUCAUCUUUGAAAGGUCUUGGAGAACUGGAGAGGUGCCUGAGGACUGGGGGAAAGCCAGUGUCUCACUCCAGUCUUCAAAAAGGGCAAGAAGGAGGACCCAGGUCAGCCUCACCUCCAUCCCUGGAAAGGUGAUGGAACAGCUCAUUCUGGAUGUCAUCUCCAGACAUACGGAGGAAAAUAAGGUGAUCAGGAGUAGCCAGCAUGGGUUCACCAAGGGGAAAUCCUGCUUGACCGAUCUGAGAGCCUUCUCUGCUGGAAUGACUGGCUGGGUAGAUGAGGGGAGAGCAGUGGACGUUGUGUACCUUGACUUCAGCAAGGCUUUUGACUCUGUCUCCCAUAACAUGCUCCUCGACAAGCUCAGGUAGUGUGGGUUAGAUGAGUGGGCAGUGAGGUGGAUUGAGAACUGGCUGAAAGGCAGAGCUCAGAGAGUUGUCAUCAUCAAUGGUGUGGAAUCUAGUUGGAGGCCUGCAGCUGGUGGUGUCAUCCAGGGAUCAGUACUGGGUCUUGUCUUGUUCAACUUCUUCAUUAGUGAUCUGGAUGAAGGGACAGAGUGCCUCCUCAGAAAGUUUGCUGAUGAUACCAGGCUGGGAGGGGUGGCUGAUACCUCAGAAGGCUGUGCUGCCAUUCAGAGAGACCUGGACAGGCUGGAGAGUUGGCCAGAGAGGAACCUCAUGAGGUGCAAUAAAGUGCAGAGUUCUGCACCUAGGGAGAAAUAACACUAGCCACCAGUACAGGCUGGAGGCUGCUGGAAAACAGCUCUGUGGAGAAGGAUCUGGGAGUUUUGGUGGACAACAAGUGGACCAUGAGCCAGCAAUGUGCCCUUGUGUCAGGAAGGCCAGUGGUAUCCUGGGGUGCAUUAGGAAGAGUGUUGCCAGCAGGUGGAGGGAGGUGAUCCUGCCCCUCUACUCAGCCCUGGUGAGGCCACAUCUCGAGUACUGUGUCCAGUUCUGGGCUCCCCAGUGCAAGAGAGGCGUGGAACCACUGGAGAGAGUCCAGCAUAAGGCUACGAAGAUGUUCAGAGGACUGGAGCAUUGAGCAUCUGCCCUACGAGGAAAGGCUGCAAGAGCUGGGCCUCUUUGGCCUGCGGAAGAGAAGACUGAGAGGGGAUCUUCUCAAUGUCUACAAAUACCUUAAGGGAGGGUGUCGAGAGAAUGGGGCCAGACUCUUCAGUUUUCCCAUGUGACAGGAGAAGAGGCAACAGGCACAGACUGGAACAUGGGAAUUUCCACCUGAAUAGAAGGAAAGCUGCUUUUAAACCAUCUCUUCCUAUUCUUUCCACUUGGUUUAGUUCACUGUCUGUACAGAGUUAUUCAACUGUGGAAUGAAAAUGAAGUAAUGAUAUAAUAUAGGAGUCCCGUACUGCCAUAUCUUCAAAGGAUUAAUUUUCAUCUUUGAGGCUAAAAUAAUUUUGUCUCUAUUAACAGCUAUUACUGAGUAUGGUGACUAGAAAUAUUUCAGUUGUGAACUGUUCAAAACAAUACUUUAGAGAAGGAAAUGCUUUGCAGCAGCUGUAGACUUCUUGAUGAAAUUAUCUGAAUGUUGACAUUGCUGCUUAUCCAGAAAUGUUAGUAUCUGUAUUUUCUUUCUUUCUUUUUUUUUUUUCCUUUCUCUCCCUCUGUUAGGUUAUGCUUCUUUUUAACACCUCUGAACUCAAAGCUUUAACAGUAAAACCCAACAGCAUGGAAGAGUUGUGCUUGUUCAGUUUUGCUUCAUUUUUUUCUGUGAUACAAAACAUGAUCAGGAUACUGUGAUAUCCCUGCGUUAGAUAUUCCUUUUCAUAUGGUUAACAUGUGUGGGAACAAUAGCAAAUGUUUUUUUUCUCAAAUGCAGCAAAGAACAAAUGAAUUGUUCCUUUCAUAAUCCAAGUUUUAUAGAAUUGAGCUAGAUGACAAUAUGCAUUUCUGCAUUUUGAGCUACAUUUUGGUUGCUUGUAUAAUAAAGGCAGAUCAACUUUAAACAAGAAA